GGCGGGUUGGCAGAGUGGUAAUGCUCGCGCUGGUUUACCACGCGAUUCGGGUUCGACUCCUGAGCUCGCCA